rnacentral:rRNA from 1 species
UACGUAGGGGGCAAGCGUUGUCCGGAUUUAUUGGGCGUAAAGAGCGUGUAGGCGGCUAGGUAGGUCCGUUGUGAAAACUCGAGGCUCAACCUCGAGACGCCGAUGGAAACCAUAUAGCUAGAGUCCGGAAGAGGAGAGUGGAAUUCCUGGUGUAGCGGUGAAAUGCGCAGAUAUCAGGAAGAACACCCGUGGCUAAGGCGGCUCUCUAGUACGGUACUGACGCUGAGACGCGAAAGCGUGGGGAGCGAACAGG